rnacentral:tRNA from 1 species
GGGACCGUAGGGUAGCUUGGCCCAUCCUUCGGGCUUCGGGAGUCCGGGACUCGAGUUCAAAUCUCGGCGGUCCCA